rnacentral:rRNA from 1 species
AGCAGCCGCGGUAAUUCCAGCUCCAAUAGCGUAUAUUAAAGUUGCUGCAGUUAAAAAGCUCGUAGUUGAAUUUCGGGACUAAUAUGUCGGUCGUGCCUCGGUACGUACUGGUAUUUUUGGUUUCUCCUUUCUGACGAACCUUGAUGUCAUUAAUUUGGUGUCUUGGGAAAUCAGGACUGUUACUUUGAAAAAAUUAGAGUGUUUAAAGCAGGCUCACGCUUGAAUACAUUAGCAUGGAAUAAUGAAAUAGGACGUUUGAUUCUAUUUUGUUGGUUUCUAGGAUCGACGUAAUGAUUAAUAGGGAUAGUUGGGGGCAUUAGUAUUCAAUUGUCAGAGGUGAAAUUCUUGGAUUUAUUGAAGACUAACUACUGCGAAAGCAUUUGCCAAGGAUGUUUUCAUUAAUCAAGAACGAAAGUUAGGGGAUCGAAGACGAUCAGAUACCGUCGUAGUCUUAACCAUAAACUAUGCCGACUAGGGAUCGGAUGAUGUUAAUUUUUAAUGACUCAUUCGGCGCCUUACG